rnacentral:misc_RNA from 1 species
UGGCCAGUCAGCAUUUCCGUGAUAGAUUUAGAGAUCCACAUGAUAGGCUGGAGCAUCGGCCUCUUUCACGUAAUUUCGAACUCUCCUCGUACGUAUCUCUUGAUAAUUCCUAUAACUAUAAGCUUCUUUCCCUCGCUGAUCCGAUACUACCAUAGACUAACCCAAUCACACUCUCCACAGAAUAAUGGAAUCCGCCACCCAAGCUCUGUCCAAGCUAAAUAUCAAUGGCGAUUCCGUCCCUAAUUUACAGAAAAACCUCAGCCUCCUCUCCCCUGAGCAGAUUGAACUGGCGAAGAUGUUAGUGGAGAUGGGGCAGAGUCAUCUGUUUCAGCAUUGGCCUGAGCCUGGUGUUGAUGAUGAGGAGAAGAAAGCUUUCUUUGAUCAGGUGGCUCUGCUCAAUUCAAGCUAUCCUGGAGGUUUGGCAUCAUAUAUUAAAACAGCAAGAGAACUCUUAGCUGAUUCAAAAGCAGGAAAGAACCCUUUUGAUGGAUUUACACCUUCUGUUCCAAUAGGAGAAAACCUGAAUUUUGGUGAUGAAAACUUUAUCAAAUUUGAGGAGGCAGGAGUUAGAGAAGCCCAGAAUGCUGCAUUUGUUCUUGUUGCAGGUGGGCUUGGGGAACGUCUUGGAUACAAUGGAAUAAAGGUGGCUCUUCCAAUGGAAACUACAACAGGAACUUGUUUUCUGCAGCAUUACAUUGAGAGCAUUCUGGCUCUUCAGGAAGCUAGCUGUAGACUGACACAAGGUAAAUAUGAAAGGGAUAUUCCUUUUGUUAUCAUGACAUCUGAUGAUACACAUGCCCGUACAUUACAGCUUUUAGAAUCAAAUUCUUACUUUGGAAUGAAACCAUCACAAGUAAAUCUUCUUAAGCAGGAAAAAGUAGCAUGCUUAGAAGAUAAUGAUGCCAGGCUUGCAGGGGAUCCACAGAACAAGUACAGGAUUCAGACCAAGCCACAUGGCCAUGGUGAUGUGCAUUCACUUCUUUAUUCUAGUGGCCUUCUUAAUAAAUGGAUCGAUGCUGGUUUGAGGUGGAUUCUAUUUUUCCAAGAUACGAACGGGCUUCUAUUCAAGGCAAUUCCAGCUUCAUUGGGUGUUAGUGCCACCAAACAAUACCAUGUUAACUCUCUUGCUGUUCCUCGGAAAGCUAAAGAAGCAAUUGGAGGAAUUACCAGGCUUACUCAUGCUGAUGGUCGGUCAAUGGUGAUUAACGUUGAAUACAAUCAGCUUGAUCCUCUGCUUAGAGCGACUGGGCAUCCUGAUGGAGAUGUCAACUGUGAGACAGGCUAUUCUCCUUUCCCAGGAAAUAUAAACCAAGUAAUUUUCUGACACAAAUGUAUUUUGUACUCAUUAUAUCCUCAAAAGACAUACGCUAAUAAUUUUUCGCAAAUAUCUGCUAAUGUUCUAUAUGACAGUGUAUUUACUCAUCUAAAAUUUCUGCUAAUGUUUUAUAUAACGGUCUCAUUAUUCAUUGCACAGUGAUGCUAGGCAUAAUAGUUGCCAAAUUCUUCACUGGCUGAUAUGGAUUUCAGAAAUAUCUAUUUGUCCCUUUUCAUGAACUGGAUAGUUGGCUGCAAUGGGGUAUGAUACAUAGGAGAACUGUUUCACAGGAUUCUCUAUAUUUUUAUCCUCUUUCCCUCCCCGCCAUGAUUGGAAGGAUGUAACUAGUUUAAUUAUCUUUUAGACAUACAAGCUGGGCAUUGAUGUUGAUAAAAUGAAAAUCAACUAUAGAAGUUGGUAAAUGAUUAUUCUUAGAGUAAAUGAGAUGCCUCAUAUUUCAUUGAUGAUGCAAUGACAGAUUUAGUAACAUUAUUAGGAUGCCAAUUUUCUUUAAAAAAUAUUUAUACUGUAAUUCAUAUGAUGUAUAUGAGGUAUUAUUCAAAUUGACUGCUGUUGUCAUAAUCUUAAGAUGGUGAUUAUGCUAUAUAUUGCAAUGUGGUCAAAUUGUUAAGUUUUUAGAAUUUUGCUUUUAAAAUCCUAUUUCUUUGCAGUUGAUUUUGGAACUUGGUCCUUAUAUUGAGGAGCUCAAGAAAACAGGAGGUGCUAUUAAGGAGUUUGUUAACCCUAAGUAAUGCUUUCUUCCGCUACUUGCUAUUUGGGUGAUAACGUCUUUGUACUUUGCUAAGUAAUAAAUUUUGGGAACUUAUCAUUCUGGAAUGAUCAUCCAAUAGACUGAUUCUAAUUUACAGACAUUAGUAUGUGUGAACUUUAUUUUAAUUUUGCAACCUCUUAUUACAUAAGCAAGGAAUUUAGGAAUUCUUAAUCAGGUCAGCUAUUUUGUUCAUACUUGCUGCAGAUACAAAGAUUCCAGCAAAACUUCAUUCAAGUCUUCAACUCGGCUUGAAUGUAUGAUGCAAGAUUAUCCAAAAACAUUGCCCCCAUCAGCAAGGGUUGGAUUUACGGUGAUGAAUACGUGGCUUGCUUAUGCGCCUGUGAAGAGCAAUCCUGAGGAUGCUUCUAAGGUACCUAAGGGAAAUCCAUAUCACAGUGCGACUUCUGGAGAAAUGGCCAUCUAUCGUGCAAACAGCCUCAUCCUCAGAAAGGUUGGUGUCAAAGUGGAUGAUCCAGUUCAACAGGUGUUCAAUGGGCAAGAGGUGGAAGUGUGGCCUUGUAUUACAUGGAAUCCAAAAUGGGGAUUGACAUUUUCAGAGGUCAAAAGUAAAGUUAGUGGAAGUUGCUCCAUCUCUCAAAGGUCUGUGAUGGCCAUUAAGGGUGUUAAUGUCUUUUUAGAGGACCUUUCCUUGGAUGGAGCUCUUGUGAUUAAAUCUGUUGAUGAAGCAGAGGUAUAUCGACUCAAAUAUAGCAAUUCUCCCAUGUUUCUUUUCCUUUUGCUUUUCAAAUAAUUUUAUUUUAUGUUUUCUCUUGUACCUUGACAAGUUUUAAAUUCUGCUACUCUUCCUUUAAAGUUGAUAAAAAGUGGACUUUCUUGUUACAUUGUUGUUAACACAAAGGUGUUUUGUUAAAUUUUUUGAGUACCACAUUCUUUUGGAAUCAAAACACAAUCCAGAGUAAAAAAAAGUUCAUGUUCUUGACUCUGAUUGCUCAAUUGUACUUUAAUUCCAAAAUUAUCAAUUUAUUUGAUAAUAUUGUUCCCUGUGUGGAAGUCAAUUUUUUGGCAUGUCUUGAGAACUGAUUCAUGAGAAGACCAUAACUUCUACAAUUCUAAUGACAAACCUUUAAACAGGUAAGAAUAGGAGGUUCCUUGAGGAACAAAGGUUGGAUCCUCGAAAAUGUUGAUUACAAAGAUACUUCAGUACCUGAGGAGAUAAGGAUCAGGGGCUUCAGAUUCAACAAAAUCGAGCAGCUUGAGAAGCAUUAUAGUGAGCCCGGCAAGUUUGAUUUGAAGGCCUGAAGAUCUGAUUACUUGGAAGAGGAUUGGUUUAGCUGAAGUUCAACAAGGGUUAUAUGUCUUACAUCAAUUGCCUUCACAAUCUGUUCCAACGACAGCUUCAAAUCUUACUGUCAAUUCCUCUUUUCCCCCAUUUGCUUUGUGGCAUUAUGGGCUUGCCUUCUAGCUCUAGAAUUUCUGUUAUAAAUAAGAUCUGUCCAUUUGUUUCUUGCAAUAAUGUACCCAAUACUUGUGACAUUUGUCUCUUUGCUAAGCAAAAGAAACUUCCUUUUCCUAUGAGUACUUCUCAUACUUUUGCCAUAUUUCAAAUUGUUUAUGUAGACAUUUGGGGUCAUUUUCAAUCCCUUCUAUUCAUGGUCAUAGAUAUUUCUUAACAAUUGUUGAUGAUUUUUCUCAAAAUACAUAAAUGAAGGCUAAAUCAGAAACUAGAAAUCUUAUGCAAUCCUUUGUCAAUUUAGUUGAAAAUCAGUUUAACACCGAGGUCAAAAUAAUUAGAAGUGACAAUGGUUCUGAGUUUUUGAUGAUUGAUUUUUACAAUUCCAAAGGCAUAAUUCAUCAAACCUCCUGUGUUGAGACGCCUCAACAGAAAGGCAUUGUUGAAAGGAAGCAUGAACAUAUCCUUAACAUGGCCAGAGCUUUACUUUUUGAAUCUAGCCUUCCUAAAUCUUUUUGGUGUUAUGCUAUUA